rnacentral:lncRNA from 1 species
CCUCCAGAGAUGCCUCCAGCAUGGCCUGGCAUCCUCAGGAUGGGCUGCCCCUGCUGAUCCAGGGUCUUCUGAUUCCUUCAGUGCAAAUGAGCAUUGGGAUUGUAUUUUUAAAUUCUCUUUUCUUUUUUUUUUUUUUUUUUCCCAUGUAUUGCAGGUGCUCUCUGCAGAAGAACAAGACAUCUUGUGCACUUUCCUCCUACCUUAGCCAAAUUGGAGUUUAUCCUAAUGGGGAAUUAAUUGCAACCCUCUGGGUGUGGCUGCUUACACACCCCUGUUGGAAAAGCACCCCGGGGCCUUCUGAGAGGUCAUUCACCCUUUGGUUCUGUGUGCAUCAGUCAAUUCUCUGUGGAUUGCAGCAGUGUCUGUGUAGGAGGGAUGGGUGGAGGGAGCUGGGUGGAUAAUGGAGGACCUGCCUGUUGUGGAAGCUGUGGGUGUUUCUGGCAGCUCACAGUUGCUGCACCGUGCUCCAAGCCCUUGCAGCCAAUGCACAUUUGUGUCUGCUCCUGCUCCCCAGUUUCUGCUCCAGUCCCCUCAGGGGAACCCCUUGGCUGCUGCACCAGUUUCACCUGUCUGCUCUCUGCCCUCUAUGGAUGACAUUAUCUUCACUUGGAUUGAAUUUGAAGGGAAUAAUCUAUAAGCAUUCUGGUCUCAAAGUACAUUUCUAGACACGGGAGCUUUUGCCAGGGCCUGUCAGGUUCAGUGGGAAACUGGGACUCAGGCAGGAUGUUAAUCUGCCUGACUUUUUUCUGGCAGCUCUGAUCUUUCCAGGCUAAUACUUGGCAAGAAUGAUAUUAACUAAACCAUUGAUCUUCCAAGGUCCUUCCAUAGCUGAUGAAUGCUUUUUGUGGCUUCUUCUCUUACUGAUAAUUUAUUUUAAGAAUAACAAGCUGUCUUACCGCUCUCCCUGGUGAGCAGAGCUCCAGGUGCCUUUCUACUGAGGCUGGCAGUGCUACUGUCAUUAUGCAACUGGGGAAACUUGAAGGACAGAGAUCAAGCUACCCACAAGCAAACUGAUCAGAAAAAAUCAGGGUGAAAUUCAGAGAAAAGUCUUUCCCCAACAGCUCCCAUACCAGCCUGAGUCGAGGAGCGUAUGGGUGAGAUUUGGUGUGUAAUGGGCUCUAGCAAAAGGGGAAGGAUGGAGGCAAUGUUCCCAAACCAUGCUUUCCGUUAAUUAAUUUGCCCUUCAAAUGAGAUUUUUGUGCUGGGAAUAAAUCUGUGUCCAUGCUGGCUCCCUGGUUAGAU